rnacentral:lncRNA from 1 species
CUCGGGCUGUGCAGCAGCUGUGAACUUCCUCUUGCGAGGCUGCAAGACCCAGCAAAGUCAAUAGAGACUCCAAAGCGCCCAGCGGGAGCCCGCGGAUCGACCGCAGCAUGCGCAGGGCAGAGCCCAGCAAAAGCUGAAGCACAUGAUAAGGUGACAGUUUUCCAUGCGACAGCAUGCCUGUGGACUACCUGGCGACCACUGCAGUGUUUCCCAAAGGGUUGCAUGCUUUCUAGCUGCUCAGUUUGAUGCCAGGUGCACCACAGUGUCCACCUCCUCUGCAGAGUGGGAAGUCGCUGCGCUGCCAAGGCAAAUGUCAGGAGGUCUUGUCCUGCUGGGCUUCUCCUCAGAGGACUUUCCAAGAGUUUCACCUACAUGAAGAGCAGGAGGCUGUGGAGCAAAUAAGAGAAGAGCCACUGUUCCCCCCGGGUACCUGCAGAGGAGCCGAUCUGCCUGCAGGUCCAUUGACUCCCGGAUGUGAGCUGCACGGCAUCAGUGCCUCUGGACGCUUGACACUUCUUCAUACGGAGGUGAGUGAUGAGCCACAACACUGGCAGCAGGAAACAGGACAAGCUUUAGGUCUUCUCCAGGAUCAAGCACCUUCAUAUCUGUUCCCUGGGUUCUCAUGGGUGCAGAGAAGGGAUUUCUCCUUGUACUGAGCCAAAUUUCAUUCACCCAGCUUUCCUGGCUGUUUCCUCUUCACUCUGUGGAAGUCCUGCAUAAAGAGGUGUGGGUUAAACCUGACACGUUGUCAGGAAUGCUUCACGUUCCAAAUUUAUGGAGCUGAACGGGGGAGCAAAUGGCCAACAUGCUGUUCGGGAAAGUGUUUGUGACAGGGAGCUGAGGAAGAUUUGAAAGAAAUAUUCUCCAAAGAUAGCCAAAACACCCAGAGACUUGCUCUGAGUUAUGCUUCAGCCUACCAGUUAAUAUGCUUGUGCUGCCCGCUCGUUAAUUGGUAGGGAAGGGGGAGGAAGAAUCCAGACUUGGCAAGCUGGUGCUGCAGACAGAUUUUGUCAGAUGAAAUCCUAAUAGACAUUAGUCCAACAUCAACAGCUCCUGAGCUGUCAUAUGGGAAUAUGCAAGAAAAAGAUAAAACCAACAACCUAAAGGAUGGAUCCUCUAUUUUAAGGGGCAGAGAAGGGAACCUGACUAAUGGAAUUUUUUCUUUUAUUUGUAGAGUUGUGCAGAGAAACAAUGGAAAAUGUUGGUUCCAGCGGAUACAGUUCUGUCUUUUCUUGAAUUCUGAACCUCAUUUAGUUCAGAGUUGCUUAACAUCUCUCUCUCUUGCCUUUACUUACUUGUGAACAGGGGUUUAUCUUAUCUGCCAAAGCCUCAGAGGAGUUGUGAGGGCAGAAUUUGGAAA